AACUAAUCAUGUUCAGGUUUUUUAGGCACUGUAUGUUAUCCCUAACCAAUUGCAGAGGUUGCAGUACAAACAUGUAGGAUACAGAUGCAUUCUAUAGUGUUCUUCAUGAUGGCUGUACUGACGGAUAUGAUUGCCCUUGUCUAAAUACUAAGAUCCAACUUUACAUGCAGUCGUACCCAUGCCAAUUUGUUGGAGCAGAGAUCAUCUGACUUAACUGAGUCUAAGUCAGAGGGAUGUCCAUCCAUGCCGCAUCGGACGACAAUGAAAUCUAGAGAGGCUCUAUGGCUCAGGUCGCCACGAAACCAGUGGCCCAUCCGGCUCCUUGUGACACAAGUGAAGGAAACAACAUGCAAGGUGUACAGAAACAGCGUGGGAUCGACCAGAACGAUACCGCCUGGGCCGGAUGGUACGCGUUGCUCUGCUCGUGACCUCAUAAGAAGCAACUGAGAUGGAAUUAUGGAAGAAGAGGCUAACACCACACACAUCCAGAUUCCAGUAAGUACAUAUAUAUUAUUAUUCCAAGUACAUUCACUUUGGCACAAGUUCAAUAUUUUGUCAUCCAGAGCAACAAUUCAAGUUUUGUGCUAUUCAGUCGUGUUAAUUCUGGAUAUUUUUGGAUUUGGUUAUGUUCUGGGUUCCAUUAGUUCAAUUAUGGGCAAUAGUGGCCAUUUAGUUCCGUUCAAGUUCAGUUCUGGGUGCCAGCAAUAGUUGUCAUUUAAUUUAGUUCAAGUUUAGUUUUCGCUGCCAUUUAGUUCAAUUCAGUUAGGAGCAACAAUUGACAUUCAGUUCAUUUCAGAAUUCUGCAUAUGUACUUCUGUCCAAUUCUGCACUUACACAAAGCUUACUGGAACACUCAUUUACUCAUAACAUUCAAGCAAACACUGAAAAUUUUUACCAUUAAUUUUGUUUUUACAGAUGUACAAGUAGCAACUGCAAUUCCUAUUCAGUCGUAACAAUAAUAUUUAGUGAUCUCAAUUUUCAUGCCAUGCUGAAUUAAAUUCAGCUAACAUCAGCGAUUUAGUUGGACGCUUCCUGCACUUUCAACUUUAUAAAAUGAUUGUUUGCGAUCAGCAACUCAUUAGACGGCGGUGGCAGUGGCGUGAUUGGCCCACUUGAACACAAACCACAGGACGUCAACAACACAGGGCCUAUGGAACCUUGUCCUCUGGUCCAACCAUUGCUUCUCCUCGUGACACCUGUGGUCUACGGUGACAGGGCCUUGGCUGGCGGCUAAUGCCACGAGGCCUCGGAGCCGGACUUGUGCUCCUCCUCUUGGGAAGUCGUCGCCAGUGCGGUGGCCCUGAAGCCGGUUGGACGCGUCUUGUGUGCGCUAGGGCAGUGGCAUCGCAGAGGAUGAAACCAACACUGGUUGAGAGCGGCCUCGAUGGUGUGGUGUAGCUGACCACGACCGUGGGGAUGGGCGUGCCGGACGCGUGAAUGGAAACGGUGAGUCCAUGCCGGACCCUCCUUUGGUGAGCGAACAACGACGACAAGUGUAGGGGAACUCAAGAAAGGAGGGUUUUUUCAGAGCUGGAGCGCCACUUUCCCUCUCCCUUCCAUUGGACUGGGUUGCAUCAUGCUUUUGGGCCGAUCCUGCUCUGUGUUUCCACGGGCUCCACCUGCUGUCGUGGAUGCGCAAAGAAUGGGAUACACACAUCCAACAAAUUUCGCUAGGCGCUUGGUACUACAACUUCUACAUCUCGACGACUUUGGACAAUAAAGCGACGAUGCUCUACCUGGGUGUGGUCUAACUCUACCUC